AUUGAACGCUGGCGGCAGGCCUAACACAUGCAAGUCGAACGGUAACAGAAUAAGGCUUUGCUCUUACUGGUGGCGAGUGGCGGGCGGGUGAAAAAUCCGUCAAACUCUACUUUGUCGGGGGAGAUCACCUGGAAACGCUAACUAUAAUACCUCAUCCUACCUACACGAGAAAGCGGGACCUCUGGGCCCCUUGCGCUCGUAAGUGCCCAGAUGUGGGAUUAGCUAGUUGGCGGGGUAAAGGCCCACCGAGGCGACGAUCCGUAGCUGGUCUGAGAGGAUGACCAGCCACACUGGAACUGAGACACGGUCCAGACUCCUACGGGAGGCAGCAGUGGGGAAUAUUGGACAAUGGGCGCAAGCCUGAUGCAGCCAUGCCGCGUGUAUGAAGAAGGCCUUCGGGUUGUAAAGUACUUUCAGCGGGGAAGAAGAGAGUAAGGUUAAUACCUUGGCUCAUUGACGUUACCCGCAGAAGAAGCACCGGCUAACUUCGUG
rnacentral:rRNA from 1 species